CGCCCAGAGGGCCUUGGCCCAGUGAAACAAUGCCCUCAAUGCCCUACGCACACCUCCUGCGAGGCUCCAGGCCGCUAGCCAGAGUGGCGCCGCUAGCCAGAGUGGCGCCCCCUACCCCGACGCACACGUGGACCAAAAAGGCAUUCAACACUGAGAAUCAGUGGUUGACUUCUGUUGGCCCUAGGAACCUUGCUCCAGCAUCAUGACCUUGAGAAAAUCUUCCUGGGAUCCCUACAUUCAGAUGCCUCGACCAGAGCAGUCGUCGCCCUGGACCAGGUACCAUCUAAUGAUCUGCCUCUAUCCAUGCGAGUUCCUCAACCCAGCCAUAUAUUUCGUUAAAUGACCUUUCAUGAGCUGUCUUGUGUAUAGAAGACUCUCUGCCAUGCUGGAGAAAUAGAAAUAAAAAGCAGGGUCUAUCUUUACAGAUCUUUGCAUCCCCAGCCUCAAGCAGCAUGCAUGGUACCCAGUAAACCCUCAGUAGACUGUGAGAAGUGAACGGAUGCACAUGCAAGAGACGCCUCCCAACGGCUGACCCACUGCAUUUAGAGAUCCCUGUGCCGUCAGUUCUGAAUUCAUAUUUUAAAGAAUCUGGGGAAAAUGCCUAGUCUGAAGGUCUUUAACGACUGCACUUGAGCUCUUUGAAAUGUCUCUUUAGGGUGGAUUCCUGGGCCUGUGACCUGUCCAGUCUUAUAAGAUCCUGCCCUUAGAAAGGUCCCAGGCUUGGUUUAAUUAUCUUUUGUCACCCUUUUGAAAUUCUUAACAGCUUUUGAAUAAAGGCUGCACAUUUGCCCUGGGCCUUGCAAAUCAUGUAUUUAGUUCUGUCUCUUCUUUCUCCAAAAAAGACUCACGACACUGGAGGAUUUUUUUAAUAUUAAAUAACUUAGACAAAACAACAUGCUGAGGAACGAAGUCGGGCCGAAUCAGAAACAUGUGUUAACGUUGACUCCUGAGCUUAAGAAAAUGAAGAUGAAAGAGGCAUCUGUGUGAUUAGCUGAACUUCAGCCGCUUGAAGUUCAGCUGAUCAGCAAAGUUUGAAAAAAUUCAAAAACCUUGCUACAAAGAAGCUCUUCUGCUGUUUCUCUAUCUCUCUGGCCUUAGAUUCUGAAAACCUUACCCCAGUGACUUCCAUCUAUGAAGUGAGUAUGCUCCUUAUACCUCGGCUGGAGAUGUUUGUUCAUUUAUUUUUACAAUUUUUAAAAUUUUAUCGAAGUACAGUUGAUUUACAAUGUUGUGUUAAUUUCUGAUGUACUGCAAAGUGAUUCAGUUAUAUAAUAGAUAUAUAUACUCUUUUUUAUAUUCUCUUCCAUUAUGGUUUAUCACAGAUAUUGAAUAUAGUUCCCUGUGCUAUACAGUAGGACCUUGUUGUUUAUCCAGCCUAUAUGUUAUUUUACA